rnacentral:lncRNA from 1 species
GACCCGGGUGAGGUUGGCGGCCAGGCCUCAGACUCCGUGUGUGGGACAUGUGCUGUCCGGGAGCCAGAAGCUGACCUUCCUGAAGGCUCCUGCUUAUCUGAUUUCAUCCCUGGAGCAGCCAUGUGACACAGCCGUGAUUUCCCUCUCGUCACUGAAGGAGCUGUAGUUAUUAAGUGACCUAGCCAAGGUCAUGCGCAGGAGAGGACAGAACCUCAGAAGGUCCGGAUUCUCUGCUUCUGGGCUGAGGCGCUGCCAGCCGCCGACCUUUGCGUGUGCAGAGGUGCGCUGCGGCCUUGGGUGGGAUCUCAGGCUUCCCCAGCAGAUCUGUGCGGAUGCUGGGGCCUCGCCCAACACGGGAUGCGUCACCUGUGGCUGGCUGAUGGACAGCACCUGCGGGCUAGGGGGAAACAUGGAGACCCUGGAAAGCUGGCUUCAGCUCUGUCCUUGGUCCCCCAGGCGACUUGUGGAGGGAAGCCUUGCCGUGCAGUGGGAUCUAGAGGAAGUCCUAAACUGGGGAGAGCCUGGAGCCUGGAACAGGAACCGCUUUCCCCUGCAGGGAGGACUUCUGCCCUGACCAGAGUCCAGGCCCUGAUGUUCUUUGCAUAUGAAAGUUGUGCCUCAGUGUCUGGCGGGUCGGGUCCCACAGCCACAGUGCUGAGUCCCUGCCGUGGAAUGGCAGAGCAUUUACAUUUAACCUACACA